UACGUAGGGUGCAAGCGUUGUCCGGAAUUAUUGGGCGUAAAGAGCUCGUAGGCGGUUCGUCGCGUCGGCUGUGAAAACCUGAGGCUCAACCUCAGGCCUGCAGUCGAUACGGGCAGGCUAGAGUCGGUAGGGGAGAUCGGAAUUCCUGGUGUAGCGGUGAAAUGCGCAGAUAUCAGGAGGAACACCGGUGGCGAAGGCGGAUCUCUGGGCAGUAACUGACGCUGAGGAGCGAAAGCGUGGGGAGCGAACAGG
rnacentral:rRNA from 1 species